CCUACGGGUGGCAGCAGUGGGGAAUAUUGGACAAUGGGGGCAACCCUGAUCCAGCCAUGCCGCGUGUGUGAAGAAGGCCCUCGGGUUGUAAAGCACUUUCAGUGAGGAAGAACGCCUGGUGGUUAAUACCCAUCAGGAAAGACAUCACUCACAGAAGAAGCACCGGCUAACUCCGUGCCAGCAGCCGCGGUAAUACGGAGGGUGCGAGCGUUAAUCGGAUUUACUGGGCGUAAAGCGCGCGUAGGUGGCUUGAUAAGCCGGUUGUGAAAGCCCCGGGCUCAACCUGGGAACGGCAUCCGGAACUGUCAAGCUAGAGUGCAGGAGAGGAAGGUAGAAUUCCCGGUGUAGCGGUGAAAUGCGUAGAGAUCGGGAGGAAUACCAGUGGCGAAGGCGGCCUUCUGGACUGACACUGACACUGAGGUGCGAAAGCGUGGGUAGCAAACAGGAUUAGAUACCCCAGUAGUC
rnacentral:rRNA from 1 species